rnacentral:rRNA from 1 species
CCUACGGGAGGCAGCAGUGAGGAAUAUUGGUCAAUGGGCGCGAGCCUGAACCAGCCAAGUCGCGUGAGGGAAGAAGGUCCUAUGGAUUGUAAACCUCGUUUGUCGGGGAGCAAGAGACGCCACGCGUGGCGUUCCGAGAGUACCCGAAAAAAAAGCGUCGGCUAACGCCGUGCCAGCAGCCGCGGUAAUACGGAGGAUGCGGGCGUUAUCCGGAUUUAUUGGGUUUAAAGGUAGCGCAGGCGGAAGAUCAAGUCACAGGUAAAAUUGAGAGGCUCAACCUCUUCGAGCCGUUGAAACUGGUUGUCUUGAGUGCGCGAGAAGUAGGCGGAAUGCGGGGUGUAGCGGUGAAAUGCAUAGAUAUCACGCAGAACUCCGAUUGCGAAGGCAGCAUACCGGCGCUCAACUGACGCUCAUGCACGAAAGUGUGGGUAUCGAACAGGAUUAGAUACCCUUGUAGUC